CCUACGGGGGGCAGCAGUGGGGAAUAUUGCACAAUGGGGGAAACCCUGAUGCAGCAACGCCGCGUGGAGGAUGACGCAUUUCGGUGUGUAAACUCCUUUUAUAUAGGAAGAUAAUGACGGUACUAUAUGAAUAAGCACCGGCUAACUCCGUGCCAGCAGCCGCGGUAAUACGGAGGGUGCAAGCGUUACUCGGAAUCACUGGGCGUAAAGCGCGCGCAGGCGGCCUUUUAAGUUGGAUGUGAAAGCCUAUGGCUCAACCAUAGAACUGCAUCCAAAACUAUCAGGCUAGAGUGUGGGAGAGGAAGAUGGAAUUAGUUGUGUAGGGGUAAAAUCCGUAGAGAUAACUAGGAAUACCAAAAGCGAAGGCAAUCUUCUGGAACAUUACUGACGCUGAGGCGCGAAAGCGUGGGGAGCAAACAGGAUUAGAUACCCCCGUAGUC
rnacentral:rRNA from 1 species